GUGCCAGCAGCCGCGGUAAUACAGAGGGUGCGAGCGUUAAUCGGAAUCACUGGGCUUAAAGGGUGCGUAGGCGGAUGCGUAGGCGCUUUGUGAAAUCCCUCGGCUCAACCGAGGAAUUGCUUGGCGAACCACGCGUCUUGAGGUUGGUAGAGGUCGCUGGAACGAUAGGUGGAGCGGUGAAAUGCGUAGAUAUCUAUCGGAACGCCAAAGGUGAAGACAGGCGACUGGGCCAUACCUGACGCUGAGGCACGAAAGCGUGGGGAGCAAACGGGAUUAGAAACCCUUGUAGUCC
rnacentral:rRNA from 1 species